rnacentral:rRNA from 1 species
UACGAAGGGGGCAAGCGUUGUUCGGAUUUACUGGGCGUAAAGGGCGCGCAGGCGGCUCUUCAAGUCAGAUGUGAAAGCCCCGGGCUCAACCUGGGAACUGCAUUUGAGACUGAAGAACUCGAGUUCGGGAGAGGAUGGCGGAAUUCCCAGUGUAGAGGUGAAAUUCGUAGAUAUUGGGAAGAACACCGGUGGCGAAAGCGGCGCGCUGGAUCUCUACUGACGCUGAGGCGCGAAAGCCAGGGGAGCAAACGGG